UGUCAAGAGGGUGGACCAGGCUUUCCUGGGUGGUGCUGAGUAAUAAGAGACAAUGGGCAGAAACUGAUGUACAGAAAGUUUCACCUGAACAUGAGGAAAAAUUCUUUAGGGUGCAGGUGACCAUACACUGGAACAGAUUGUCCAGAGAGGCUGUGGAUCUCCCUCACUGGAGAUAUUCAAAGUUACCUGAGCACAACUCUGAAUGAUGUGCUCCAGGGAACCCUGCUUGAGCAGUGAGGAGGGAGGACAUGACCUCCAAUGGUCCCUUUCAGCCUUAACUAUUCUGUGAUUCUGUGAUCUUAGACAGUUUUGAGGGAAGAGAUUGAAUCACAGAGUUAAAUGUUUCUGUCACUGGAGAGCUAAACAAGCUGCUGUAGAGGUGUGGAUAUGAACUGGACCAGAAAGUCUUGACCUGCCAAGGAGGUUAGUUUGUGUCUUUUUAGAACCAUAUAUAUUCACAGGCUAAAAUCUUCUUGAGCUGGGACUUGUGAAAGACUGGAUUCUACUGUCCAGUGAAGGAUGGAGCAGAAGGAAUCCAUCUCUUGUUCUCCAGUUCCUCUCCAAGUGUCUCACUUCAUGAGCCUUGAGCAGUACAGUCCAUAACAUUUGUGCAGAAAUCACAUCUGAUGGCAAUUACAACCACACAGCACAAGAGUACAUGAUGGAUGAGAAGGCCCUCCAGGGCCAUCGGGGACUAAAAUUGUGAGGGGGUGAUGGCAGCCAACACCCAGGAACACGGACCAACGAAAUGUCCACAGGCUUGGGUGCUCUCAGCAGACACACAGAACACUGCGACACCCAGAGAGCAGUGUCACACUCUCCAGUUGUGUCAGCCCCCAGCAGUGUCACACACCCCAGCACUGUCACAGCCAGCAGUGUCACACACCCCAGCAGUGUCACCCUCCGGCCCCCGGAGGCCCGCGCUGUCGAGGCGCGGGGAUCGGGCGCUCCGUGCAGGCCACAGUCCCGCUGUGCCGGGGCAGCCGUGUGGGGCGCUGCUCAUCCGUCACCGGCCGGGGCCUGCCCGCAGCCCGGCAUGGAAGGGCCCCGCUUUGUCUGUCGUCCCUCCCGCCCCGCAGCGCUGGUGCGAGUCCCGGAGAGCCGGGCUGCCCGGUUGCAAGUGGCUUGUGGGCUGCAGAACCUCUGACUCAAACCAUGCCCUUGUCUCCAUUUGAACAUCACCAUCCUUAUAAAGGGCUGGUGUGAAGUUCUGUGUUGUUUUCUCAAGACAAAAGCCUUCUGUGUUGUAUCUGCCUUUAAACCUGAGCUGGAGAUAAAACAACCUGGUGAUACGAGGCAGUAAUCGUGUGCAACAACCAAUGGAGUACUUGGAACACAACCAUGUGCUUAUGCUGCUCAAGGUAUUGUUACUUCAAAGUGGAGAUGAACAGUGUUGCAGUCAAGACUCGGAGGCAGAUAACAAACUGUUAAAGCACAGUUACCUGCUACACAGAAUAUUAUUUGCCAGCAGACUGGUCCCAGGUUCUUAAUUUUAAAAUAGCAUUUACACAGCUGUGAAAAUGCUUAAUUUUUGUAGCAACACAUUGCCCUAAAUUGGAUUGAAUAGUUGCAGUGUUUUAAAAACUUGUGAUCUGAUUCUGCAAUUUUAAAAAAAUUACAUGUUGUUGCUUUAAGUACAGCAGAUUCCUUUCAUUUUCAUCUACAGUGGAACACUUCAGUACAAUGGACUCUGAAGAUAAUUUUUAAUACUGACUCCUCUGCAUUCUGGCUUCAUUUGUGGAGAUGCACAAGCAGCCACAAUAACAGCCUCAAACAUGACUUUCAAAACACACUGCUUUUAUACUUCAAAAGAGAUAUGUCCCCAUUUCUUAUACAUCUUUUGUCAAGCCUUUUAUUCUUCACAAAGAAAUACAGAGCUGACCUGAAAAAAACCCACUUUUUCUGAGAGUAGUCAAAAUUAUCCUCAUGGAGUAAAUCUGAGAACUCGUUUCCUGAUAGAGCCACCUGGGAGCAUGAAGACACAUGUUUCAUUUGUAUCUCUUGGAAAAAAUGUGGGCUGGCAUACAAAAGAACAUAAUUAUAUCUAGACCUAGAAUCUUAUGGGUGCCUGGUCUUCAAGAGAUAGCUUUCAUCUCAAAUGAAGGCCUAUUGGACUCAUUGAAUGUACACAAGGAUCUUGAGGGCUGUAAUUGGGAGACUAGAUGCUGACCUGCUUCACCCAAAACUUCCCUGACCUGAAAGGCAACACAGUCCCUGGGUUUUAACACCCUCCAGUUGUCCAUAUUCCUUGCAGGUUGGUGAGUAUGCUAGAAACUGAUUUCCCAGAGUGUCCCCAGAAAGACAGAAAAACUGGUGUAGCUCCUUUUUUCACUUAUUUACCUGGAACACUGGGCAUGCUCUGUGAUACAAAGCUCUCAUCUGCUUUAUUGCAUUCCUAUUACUACAGAAAGACAUAAACCCCAAUUCUUUAUGAAGGCCUCUUUCCACCAGUUGAGAGCUAAAGAAAGCUGUAAGUAAAGAAAAUAGAGAAACAGCUCAUCACAAGAAGGACAGAGAGACAUUUCUGAGGGAAUGUAAUAACUACAAGUCUUGACACAAAAAAAAGAAUCAACCUCCCAACCAAGUAAAGUCUUCCUUACUAAGAAAGGCAAGUCAUGUGUCUUUGCAGCCCGAAUUUAUGUUGCACCCUUACCUCUUCAUCCUGGUCCUCUGUUCAUCCAUAUGAUGCUUGGGUCAUGAUGGCACUUCCUGGAGCAGCACACCUGUGUUUUCUUUGUAUGGAACAAAGAAACCAAGGAUGGAAGGGAAGAACAACUGAAUUUCAGCAAGGCCAAGGCACACACUUGAGAUGGGUACCAGACAAAGUCUAGACAGAUUCCUUAGCUCUUUGGUUAUUUUUAAAAGAUUCUUUAAAACUAGCCAGUUGGUCUUUAUAAAACAUUCAAAAUGUUGUGUAUAUUAAUACUCUUUGGGUGAAAUAUUAAAAGAAAUCUUUUGCUGUUCUGUUCUGAGUCUGUUAUUUUAACAAAUGCAACAUCUCCUGUUUCUUAUAUGAUUUAAAUGUUAACAUAAAAAACAUUCAAAAAAGACUAAUUGGAAAAAUACAUGUCUGAAAAAAAAAUGUUUCCAAUUAAUUUGAAGGAUGUCUGAUUGUAAUGCUGUGUGUUCUUAUUUAUAAGACUUUAGUAAAUGAAGGACUUUCAGAUGCUGA